rnacentral:lncRNA from 1 species
GGUCCCCAAAUUUGCCUCAUUACUCUUGAUCAAACAGAUGGGGGUAUUGUGUCCUAAAUUCUGAUUCCAGUUCCCAAGUCGCCUCCCUAGGCGUGUGGUUCUGCCACAUGACUUUUACAAAUGAUAUUUUCCGGUUGCGGAGUAUUCUGCUUUCUCGGUCCGUGAUACUGACCGGUACUUCUUCAUAAGACAAGUCCUCUCGGAG